rnacentral:rRNA from 1 species
AUUGAACGCUGGCGGCAGGCUUAACACAUGCAAGUCGAACGGUUGAAGGCAGCUUGCUCCUGGCUUCAGCGGCGGGCGGGUGUGUAAUGCCUAGGAAUCUGCCUGGUAGGGGGGGAUAACGUCCGGAAACGGGCGCUAAUACCACAUACGCCAUGAGGGAGAACGUGGGGGAUCUUCGCACCUCACGCUAUCAGAUGAGCCUAGGUCGGAUUAGCUAGUUGGUGGGGUAAAGGCCUACCAAGGCGACGAUCCGUAACUGGUCUGAGAGGAUGAUCAGUCACACUGGAACUGAGACACGGCCCAGACUCCUACGGGAGGCAGCAGUGGGGAAUUUUGGACAAUGGGCGAAAGCCUGAUCCAGCCAUGCCGCGUGUGUGAAGAAGGUCUUCGGAUUGUAAAGCACUUUAGGUUGGAAGGAAGGGCAUUAAGUUAAUACCUUGCUGUAUUGACGUUACCGACAGAAUAAGCACCGGCUAACUUCGUG